UGCUUGCUUCGGCAGCACAUUACUAAAAUUGGAAUGAUGCAGAGAAGAUUAGCAUGGCCCCUGCGCAAGGAUGACACAAAAAUUCGUGCAUUCCAUAUUUUU